CGCGCCCUGUCAGGAGAGAGCGCCCCAACCGCAAGACGCGGGCGCCGCCGAAGGCGCCAGGCGCGAUGCGCUCAAACGCUCAGGCAAAAGGACUGGCAAGUGCUC
rnacentral:ncRNA from 2 species